rnacentral:rRNA from 1 species
UACGUAAGGUGCAAGCGUUAUCCGGAAUUAUUGGGCGUAAAGAGUUCGUAGGCGUUUUAAUAAGUCUUCUGUUAAAUCCACCUGCUCAACGGGUGAAUCGUGGAGGAAACUAUUAAAAUAGAGAAUGGCAGAGGUAACUGGAAUGUCGCAUGUAGGGGUAAAAUCCGUUGAUAUGCGAUGGAACACCAAAAGCGAAGGCAGGUUACUGGGCCAUUUCUGACGCUGAGGAACGAAAGCGUGGGGAGCAAACAGG